CAGUGUUACAACUCUUUUAGAAUUUGUCUAGCAGGCUUUCCAGUUUUUUUCCAGAAAGCCUCA
ensembl:snRNA U7 U7 small nuclear RNA